rnacentral:rRNA from 1 species
ACUCAAAUGAAUUGACGGGGGCCCGCACAAGCAGUGGAGCAUGUGGUUUAAUUCGAUGCAACGCGAAGAACCUUACCUGGGUUUGAAAAGCUCUGUAAACCGAUGAAAGUCGGGUAGUGUAGCAAUACACGCGGAGUACAGGUGCUGCAUGGCUGUCGUCAGCUCGUGCCGUGAGGUGUUAGGUUAAGUCCUGCAACGAGCGCAACCCCUGCACUUAGUUGCCAUCAGGUCAAGCUGGGCACUCUAGGUGGACUGCCUACGCAAGUAGUGAGGAAGGUGGGGAUGACGUCAAGUCCUCAUGGCCCUUACACCCAGGGCUACACACGUGCUACAAUGGCCGCUACAACGGGAUGCAAUGCCGUAAGGCGGAGCCAAUCCCUAAAAAGCGGUCUCAGUUCGGAUUGAGGGCUGCAACUCGCCCUCAUGAAGCUGGAAUUGCUAGUAAUCGCAGAUCAGCCACGCUGCGGUGAAUACGUUCCCGGGCCUUGCACACACCGCCCGU